rnacentral:rRNA from 1 species
CUAACAAGGAUUCCCCUAGUAACUGCGAGUGAAGUGGGAAAAGCUCAAAUUUAAAAUCUGACAGUCUUUGACUGUCUGAGUUGUAACCUAGAGAAGUGCUACCUGUGCUGGACCAUGUAUAAGUCUCCUGGAAUGGAGUGUCAGAGAGGGUGAGAAUCCCGUCCUUGACAUGGACUGCCAGUGCAUUGUGGUGUGCUCUCAAAGAGUCGAGUUGUUUGGGAAUGCAGCUCUAAAUGGGUGGUAAAUUCCAUCUAAAGCUAAAUAUUGGCGAGAGACCGAUAGUGAACAAGUACCGUGAGGGAAAGAUGAAAAGAACUUUGGAAAGAGAGUUAAACAGUACGUGAAAUUGUUGAAAGGGAAACAUUUGAAGUCAGUUGUGUUAGCUGGGGAUCAACCUGGCUUUUCUGCUUGGGUGUAUUUCCUGGUUGACAGGCCAACAUCAGUUUUGACCAUUAGAAAAAGACCAAGGAAAUGUGGCACCUUUGGGUGUGUUAUAGUCCUUGGUUGUAUGUGAUGGUUAGGACUGAGGCAUGCAGCACACUACUAGGCUGGGCUUUG